UCUUUUCUUUAUAUUUGAAAUAGCAGCCUUAAAAUACUAUAGGGCCAGUGCAGAAUUACUUCUAGAAGUACAUGGUUUUCCUGGUAAAAAAGAAUAUAGUUUGAGGGUUUCAAACUUACCUUUGGGCCUUGCCCAAACAGUUCAUUUAGUUAAUUAACUAUUAUUAACAUUUGGAUGGGCUAUGCUUAUAUGCACAUGUAUGUAAACGUGACAUUUAAUUUAUAAAAGGGUCCAAAAUGAAUCAACUGAUUAAGAUCGUGGAUAGGAGAAGGAAGAAUAAGCUAAUAGCUGCCCAGUGAUGUGGAAUGUGGCAUGCCACAUGUGAUCCAGUUGAGAGGGAAGUCAAUUAUAGGAAGUGUGUCAAAGGAAGGAAGGCAGUAAUCAAUUUGAACUCUUGUUCGGAGGAGACUAAGCACUCUCAUAAUGCUAAGUUUUUCAGUUCUAUACUCAUACACAUUGUUUUAGGCUCUGUAAUUAGCUGACAUGGGUCUUAUACACUUAGUAAAAUACAAAUUUUCCUUAUCUAUAAUACCCUGGUACCUGUCAUUUUGGUAUUAUAGUCUUGAUUCUGAGAGCUUGGAUGGUCAUCAUACAAGCUCUGAUGGAGGCAGGAGUGAUAGAUGUGGAUCAAGAAAAGUUGAGUGAGAUCAAGAAGCUCUUGCUGUAAUGAUUGUCAUUGGAAGUUCUGGCCUUGGAUAGAUAUCAUUGAUGGGGAGAGAAGACAUCUACAUGGUGUUGGGAGGACUUCAAGCUCUAAAGAAACUGGAUUAUGCCAUGUUGAAAGGGCUUUUUCUCAUUAGAAUGAAGGGGACAUGAGGCCCAGAGAACCAACUAGAAAGUUAGCCUGAUAAGAGUUGCUUAUAAAUCAAGAGUUUGUUUGGCUGAGCUUCUCCAUGAGAUUGAUACCAUCAAACUAAAUGUUUAUAGGUGGUCCAAUAACAGUUUGAUAGUGGGUGACACGAUAGGUUCAACACACCUCGCUUGGAUAAACUUUGAUAUAAUCUUAAAAAGUAGACUUUAAGUUGAACUUAACCUCACAACAUUCGUUUGGUAAUAUAAGAUUUACACACUUAUAUACAAUUUGACUAUAUUUCUAGUCGAUGCGAGAUAUUCAAUAGUUAAAUCCGUUUUCUCUAGCUCCUAGUUCAUAUUUUCUUCUACUGAGUGAUUGCUUGCCUUUUUAGAAAUGAGUGGACUUCUAUGCCCUUGAUAAUUUAUAUCAGAGCAAAGCUCAGCGCCUGCUUAUAAUAUUAAUAAUUUCUUCCAUUGCUUUAGUUUCUCAACAAGUAAUGCAGAUUUAAGAUGAUUGCUUACUGCCCCCACCUGUCAAACAAGUUGAGGCUGGCUGACCUAAAUUGCAACUUAGUUUCUUUUUGUUGAUACAAAAGUUACUAAGAAAAACUUUACCUCAAUCAGAAACAAUUGUCAAAGGGUGAAUCCGUGUAAGCUAAGCACCUCUUGGAUUAAGUUUUCUGCCAUUUCCUUGGCUAUGAAAGGGAGACGGACGUGUACAAAGUGCAUAUAUAUACCUAGUUAGGUGAUCUACCACUACAAAGAAUGGUAUAUUGACAAACUUAAGUAGGCAUUCUUAGGGGUUGCAAUGAAACCACCUAGCUAUAUUAGAGAUAAUGUUUGGUGUUUGUAUAUUAGAGAUAAUUUUUAUAAUAAAGAUAUAGUUUGUAAGGUUUUUUGUAUAUAUAACAAAAAGUUGUCUUGUUGUGGUGGUUGAAUUUAUUUUAGCUUCCUAAAGGAACAAGGCAGGAACCCAUAUGGGACCAAAAUUUCAAAAUUUGGCGAUUUCACUCCCAUAUUUCUUUGCCUGCAUGCACCUUCCAGGUUCGUUAUGUGUGAUCAAUCCAGUUUGUGGAAAAAAAAAAUCCACAAAGAAAACAGUGUUGCCAUGUCAAGCAUGCCAAUUGGUAUGAGCUCACUUUAUAGACAGAUUAUUUCCCACUGUCAGACAAGACUUGAAACUCCUUACAUAGUAGUAUGGAGCCUCCUUUAUCGUCAUGUUCCCUAGCAGGUCAAUAUAAGUUGUAUAAAAUUGGAUCCCAUUAUACAGUUGGGCCCUCACUACAUACUGCUGUACCUCAUAAUGAUGGAUCUUCUUUUAAGAUCACUUUUGCUUCAGACUUUUCAAAGUGAUUCCCUUGAAGUUUCCAUGAUUUUGACCAAACCAGAUAGUCAUUCCAUGCCUAGUGCCCAACCUUAGAAAUCUAGCUGAUUGAAUUGCAAUGUUUGAAAUCCCAGAUAGCGUACACAGUGGCAGACACUAAAAAUGCUACAGUGAGAUAGCGUAUAGCAGGAUAACUAUUAUUCUGAAAUUUCUUAUAUUUUAUAUACGGUAGGUACAUAUAAAUUCUAAAAGAUCAUACUCAAAAUUGAUAAAGUCGCAGACAUAGGUAUCUUUAACAAAACAUACAAGUAAAUACCAAUACAAGUCUGUACGAGUUUCGUACAUGGGAAUUAUCACUCAUCAUCUUCUAAAUUUAAGUAUUCUUUAUGAUUGUCACUUUACAUCUAUUGAUCUCAAUUCUGGAAAUUAAAAUCUCAAAAAUAUCAUUCCAAAAACGCUUAGUUUCUCUGCUCACAGGGUUUUUCUUUUGUAAUCAACACAUAGUGUUGUUAUAUCAUAUAAUUGAAUGAUUCGUUAUUUUCUCUUUUCACACUUUUCUUUAACCAAAUCUCAUGAAUGAAUUAGAAAAGCUAUAUAAGCUGGAAUUGUAAAUGAAACUAUGAAAGAAAUUAAGAAAGUUCUUCUGAAAUUAUUUUAGUUGAUUAUUCCUCUACUUUAUUUGUCAUCCAAUCAUUCAAUGCAUACAAUAUAUUUGGUUGUUUUAUUAGUUUCUUUCCAUUCUUCCAAAAUAGAGGCUUUACAAUAAAUAGUUGUUUGUUUUAUAAGACUUUUGAUUAAGUUCUUUUAUCUAUUUUCAAGUUUAAAAUUAUUAGAUUAAACAUUAUAUAUCAUCUAUACAAUAUAUUUGAAGUCAUUUUUCAUUGUCUCUAAAUUACAGUUCACAAUUAAAAAAUAAGCUUGUGUACUUUGGAUCUCGAUGUGAUAUCUUUGAUGUGAAUGAUCAUUUAUCAACGAUGGUGGGGUUGCUGAGUUGUAAUUUCAUAUAUUGCCAUUCCCGUACAUGAGCUGGCAUUAAAACAUUUCUCUGAAUCGAGUAUCAUUAUCAUCCAAUGGUGUAAUUGAUUGAAGAAAUGCUGGAUAACAGUUUGUUGUAUCACUUGUUAGACUCUUAAAUAAUCUUCGAAGACUUUGGGUUUGGGUGUAACUGAACUUAAAAACCAUAACUAUAGGGUAAGGGUUGUCCCUCACUUGUAUAUAUUAUUUUGUCCCUACAAUAUGGGAUUUUCAACACUCCCCUCAUAUCAAGAUUUGGGCUUCCUGAGUGUGAAUUUUGUAGGAUUCAAUAUCUAAAUGUGAUUGAAUAUAGUUUUGAAGCCAUCUUAAAAUCUGGUUUUUGGGUUUAGUUCAACCCUAACAGCUAGCUCAUAGAAUUGUCCCUCACUUGUAUACACUAUUUUGGCCACACCAUUCGACAAUGGGGGAUAACCUACAAUUAUAAAUCCUGUGACUUGUUGGUGCAUUUGAUUGAUUUUAUACGAUC